rnacentral:rRNA from 1 species
GAUGAACGCUGGCGGCGUGCCUAAUACAUGCAAGUCGAGCGAACAGACGAGGAGCUUGCUCCUCUGACGUUAGCGGCGGACGGGUGAGUAACACGUGGAUAACCUACCUAUAAGACUGGGAUAACUUCGGGAAACCGGAGCUAAUACCGGAUAAUAUAUUGAACAGCAUGGUUCAAUAGUGAAAGACGGUUUUGCUGUCACUUAUAGAUGGAUCCGCGCCGCAUUAGCUAGUUGGUAAGGUAACGGCUUACCAAGGCGACGAUGCGUAGCCGACCUGAGAGGGUGAUCGGCCACACUGGAACUGAGACACGGUCCAGACUCCUACGGGAGGCAGCAGUAGGGAAUCUUCCGCAAUGGGCGAAAGCCUGACGGAGCAACGCCGCGUGAGUGAUGAAGGUCUUCGGAUCGUAAAACUCUGUUAUUAGGGAAGAACAAAUGUGUAAGUAACUAUGCACGUCUUGACGGUACCUAAUCAGAAAGCCACGGCUAACUACGUG